UCUGUGACUGUGAGCGGGAGGGAGGCCGCGGCGCUCUGUGACUGUGAGCGGGAGGGAGGCGCGGGAGAGCCUCCGAGAAAGGUGGCUCCAGUAGCUGACUCCUGCUUGGAGGGCAUUUCUCCUCAUCCCCUGGGAACUACCACCUAGGGCUUCAAAAUUUUCAGUUUUCAAACUUCAUCAACCAGCAAUGCUGUUUUACUCUUGAAUGACUGGUUGUCAUCUUCCCAAUCUUCUAGAUGUUUUUUUAUAAGCUCUUCUCCUUCCUUGAAGUGGGGUGAUACCAAGACUUCACCAAGGCUUAACUUCAGAGGACACAGCCCCAGACAGACGGAAGAGAGAAGCCUGGUUCCACAUUCGAGAUUCUGCUUGUCUCAACCCAGGAAGUCAUCGUGGAGACAGGAGACAGGAAAAGGAAAACAUGGACAGGAUGACACAGGACCUCUAAAACCCCUUUCCCUCUGAGAGCGCCAGGCUUUACCCUGCGGUCACUGCCAGCCUCCGUGUUGGGCAAAAGACCAACACGUUCAUCUAGGGAGAAACUCAGAAACAGAGAGGUUCAGUGAUUGAAUGCCACUCACUCAGCAAAUCCAGGGAUCCAUUUCAUUUGCUCUCCGUUCAGGAUCCUGUUGUUUACUGCACAGCUGGCGACUUUGACAGCUUAAUAAAAUCAA